AGUGGCGAACGGGUGAGUAACAUAUCGGAACGUAUCCAAUAAUGGGGGAUAACUAAUCGAAAGGUUGGCUAAUACCGCAUACGCCCUACGGGGGAAAGCAGGGGAUCUUCGGACCUUGCGUUAAUGGAGCGGCUGAUAUCUGAUUAGCUAGUUGGUGAGGUAAAGGCUCACCAAGGCGACGAUCAGUAGCUGGUCUGAGAGGACGACCAGCCACACUGGAACUGAGACACGGUCCAGACUCCUACGGGAGGCAGCAGUGGGGAAUUUUGGACAAUGGGCGCAAGCCUGAUCCAGCCAUUCCGCGUGAGUGAAGAAGGCCUUCGGGUUGUAAAGCUCUUUCGCAAGGGAAGAAAACUUACUUUCUAAUAAAGAGUGAGGUUGACGGUACCUUGAUAAGAAGCACCGGCUAACUACGUGCCAGCAGCCGCGGUAAUACGUAGGGUGCGAGCGUUAAUCGGAAUUACUGGGCGUAAAGCGUGCGCAGGCGGCUUUGUAAGUCAGAUGUGAAAUCCCCGAGCUCAACUUGGGAACUGCGUUUGAAACUACAAGGCUAGAAUAUGUCAGAGGGGGGUAGAAUUCCACGUGUAGCAGUGAAAUGCGUAGAGAUGUGGAGGAAUACCAAUGGCGAAGGCAGCCCCCUGGGAUAAUAUUGACGCUCAUGCACGAAAGCGUGGGGAGCAAACAGGAUUAGAUACCCUGG
rnacentral:rRNA from 1 species